rnacentral:lncRNA from 1 species
CGGGGACAGCUGGAAAGGGCAGCGGGAGACAGCCCCUGUGGUCCUCCCGUCGAGCUGGACGGCUCUGCGCGCCGCGGCUCUCGCCAACUGGGGGAUCAGUGUGCCCAAAGCCCAGGAUGGUGAUCCGGCGUCGUCGCACGGGUGGGAGCCUUAGAGUUAGGGUUGCGACAGGCGGGAGCUGGUGUGGACCCCAGCUUGCGUUGGCGCCUGUCCCUCCCGCACCCCCAGCCCCUGGCGGUGGGGCCACCCUGCGCAGACAGCACUCAGGCCCACGGGGCAGAGUCGGCGGGGCUUGGGAGGCCAGGGAGGCUCACCUGCGCCCUCCCCGCCCUGGAUGCUGGGUGCGCGCCCUGUGGUCCGCCGACCGCCCGCUGGAAGCCAGCCUCAACCUGAUUCGAGCGCGUCUGGUGAAGGGGACGCGGAGCUGGGGGCGGAGGCGCCCGCAAGAUCGGUGGGAUGGCAGCCCUGCCUGCAGAUCGAGGUGCUGGGGAGAGGAGAGGGGACACCAGCGCGUGCCUGCACAGGGUCACCUGCGUCCUGGGCCGCUGCUGGGAAGCGGCCACCCUAAAGAAAUGCCCUGCGGCUGCCCGGAGGGCCCCCACCCUUAAGACUGGCCUUGAAGCUGCAAGCCCUCUCUUUCAUCUCCUCCCAACAGAGCUGGCCGGUUCCCCAGCCUGCAAUCCAGGCCUGCGGAGAAUGUCUCCAAAAUACUUCCAGAACUCCAAGCCAAGGGCCCUGUCCCGCCCUCCACCUACAGACUUCCCCUGGGUUCCUAGUCCUUACCCUCCUUCCUCUCCACUGGGCUUCCCCAGGCGCCUGGAAAGACACCCAGGGACCUGGCUGGUGCAAACCUAGCGUUUUCUCUGUUCCAAAGGCCAAGGGAGUCUGCUGGGAAACAAAGACUAGAGACUUGGCGCACAUUUUUUGAGCACUUACUAGGUGUCAUUUAACACUUCGAGUGGAUUUUCCCUUUUAAUCUGUACAACAGCCCUUUGGGGCAGGUAUUAUUAUCUCUGUUCUGUGGAGGUAGAAACUGAGGCAGCCUGGGAGCAGAGGCCAUCCAGAAGGACUCAGUUCCACUUCAAGUCUGUUUCUCCGCCAUUGCAGCGUGCUUCUGCAGGAAGUCAGGAGUCCUAACUGUGGCAAGACCCACAGCCCUAGCCAUGCCCUAGGGCCUGAUGGCAGCUAGCAGUGUCUGUUAACACCAACACUAGGUGGAUCCAGCAGGUGGAUGUCAGGUACAGUUUGAUCUGGAAUGCAUCACAGCCUGCCUGUAGAGGAUUAGUGGUCUGAGUUCCUUGGGGUGGGUGAACAGCUCAGUCUCCACCUUUGACUCCUCAACUCUGGACAUCCUCCUUCAGCAUUCUGAAUUGGCAGCAUCCUGAGACACGCCAAGUCCCUCUCGUUCCCUCUCCUCCCUCCCCCAAAGACACAAGCUCAGUAGACACACACACACACACACACACACACCUGCCCUCCCCUUCCCCUGCCAAGCACCAGCCUGCAUGUGGAUGAGGCCUUGUGUGGGCUCCGCUAAUGCCCUUUGUCCUGGGAGGGAAGGGCAUACCCACCUUUAAUGAGUGGCUGGGAAAUCAGGGUCCAAAAGCAGUCCCCCUUCCAGUGCCUAGAAAUGACACCACAGGGUCCCUGGCCCCCAUUUCCUGCCCAAGAAUUAGCGAGGAUCACACAUGCAUGUGGACACACACACACUCCCCUCCCCUGGCUGGUCUCAGGCGUGGCUUGAUGCAGUAGCUCAAUGGACAUCAAUCACCCAAACCCAGUGUCUCCAACUGACUUAGUUCUGCUCUCCAUCAAAAGCUGGCUUCGUUUCUUUGUGGUGAAACCUUUGAAAUCCUCUCUUCUAGUUUUUGGAAAUAUAUAGUAGAGCACUUAACUGAAGUUGCCCUCCUGUAUAGUAGAUUGAGAUGGGAAUUUGGGGAUACAGAAAGAGAGAGACUAAGUUUCAAAAGAGAAGCACCCAUCAGCUGUUGGAAUGGAGGAAUGCCCCCAAGAACCUUGGAAAUGCAAAACAAGCUUGAGCAACCCAGUCCAUGGCCUUAACCCACACCCUUGACCCACAUCUUUGACCCAUGCCCUUGGCCCGUGCCCUUGCCUGCCAAAAAGUAAUGUGAGGGCAAUUUUCAAAUGCUGUAAACAACCUGCGUGGAAUUUUGUAACUCCACCCUGGCUCCACCCCUAUUUCAGCCCCUAACUACUGCCACUCUUUAAAUAUUAACACCCCAGACGGGAGGUCACUGUCUCACCCUCUGCAGAAGGUCUGCAUUCUCCCUUAUACACGUAUUCCUCGGUUUACCCCAAAGGCAUCUCCCUUGAGAUCGCCCACAUUCUCCCUUGACUAUGUAUCACUUUCCUAAGUAAACCUCUGUCCAUUCCUCUGACAAACAUGUGUUGAAAUUCUUUUCCAUCACAUAAGCCAAGGACCCACUGGUCCUGAGUCAAGCUCCCCCUUCUCUCCAGGAACUCCCCCAGACCCUUCUCCAGGGACACAUUCUCUGUGACAGGACCACCAGCACUUAUUCCUCCUGUCUAGCUUCGUCACUACUGACCAACCUCUUGCUGUCCCCACCGCUGUGACCCCAGUUCUACUCUCAGUGUCUAUGAGGUCAGCUUCAUAGCUGUGAGAUCACAUGGUAUUUGCAUUUCUGUGCCUGGCUUCUUUCACAUCAUAUAAUGUCCUAUAGGUUUAUCCAUCUUGUCACAAAUGAUAAAUGUUUCCGAUGAUGGACAUACUAAUUACCCUGAUUUGAUUGUUACACAGUUUAUACAUGUAUCAACAUGUCACAUUAUAGCCCAUAAAUUUGUACAAUCCAUGUGUCAUGUUCUUUUUUAAAAAAAAACAUCUGCUUUGUUCUCUACUUGCAUAAGUGCCAAAAUGGCUGCGGAAGCUCCAGCUCACUUGCUUCCAACAUCGAGUCCUAUGGGAAGGAAGCAGGCAGACCUGUGUGCUAACUCCAUGGCUGGCAAG